rnacentral:rRNA from 1 species
GUGCCAGCAGCCGCGGUAAUACGGAGGGCGCAAGCGUUGUUCGGAAUUACUGGGCGUAAAGCGCGUGUAGGCGGCUAAGCAAGUCGGUUGUGAAAGCCCAGGGCCCAACCCUGGAAUUGCGUCCGAAACUGCUUGGCUAGAGUCCUGGAGAGGAAGGCAGAAUUCCCAGUGUAGGGGUGAAAUCCGUAGAUACUGGGAGGAAUACCCGUAGCGAAGGCGGCCUUCUGGACAGUGACUGACGCUCAGACGCGAAAGCGUGGGGAGCAAACAGGAUUAGAAACCCGCGUAGUCC